UUGAACUGCGAUGAAAUCGAAAACAUCGUUUGUUUUCGAAUUCGUUUCAAAUGUUGUCAAAAACGAAAACAUUUUCCUCAAAUUCGAAACAUUUUGUUUUCAAAAACGUCCCCCGUUUUCCUCACCGAUUUUUUGAGGCGUAACAUCUGUCAAACGCAGCCUAAAACAAACGUCAAAUGCGCGAGUGAAACAGAUUGUUUGUGUUUCAGUUUAUUUAUUUUUUUCGGUAAAGCCAGAAUCAGACAUCGGAUUGUGGAUUCCGGUGGAAUUUAUGCCGUAAAGGCAAGGUCAAGUUGCAGCGGGAAGAUGUGGCCUUCUCCUCGGGCGCGGCAGCCGAAGCAGCACCACCACCGGGCGGAAUCGAUGUCAGCUUCUCGCGGCUGGAAGCGAUCCAUUCCUUGACGGGACUUGCCCUUCAGUUCGUUGUCCACCUUGGUGACACUGAUCGAGUCAAGAUCUUCUCAGGAUUGUGGAUUCCGGUGGCAUUCAUGCCGUAAGGGAAAGACAAGUUUGCGGCCCGGUGCAAAGCCGUCGGACGCGGGCCAUUCGGAGAGCACGGCCGACGAGGGAGGAGUGGUAGUGCAGCGAGAAGUAUUGAACUUCUCCUCGGCGGCGGCAACCGGAGCGGCACCACCAUCGGUCGGCAGCGUUCAAUUCCUCGACGGAUUUGACGGUGCGGCGUUUCCGUUUUUUAUUAUCAUGGGGACACGAAACAAGGACAGCAUUAAAUGUGCUGAAGAAACCUCGAUGGAACUCGAAUACGGGUAACUGGUUCCUGCGGUACCAGAAGUGACACAAGGUGCUGCCAAUGCCGUUGAUUCCAGUCCCCCAGAAGCUUGAUAUGAAGCCCCCUCGAAUCGAACCACGACGACAAGGAGAGCGGCCCGGCUGGCGUACCUGUCCGGUGGAGCCGUUCCACGACAAAUUACGCACACCUCGAGCUACGUCGGCAUCCUGGAGGCGAUCCCAACCAAGUCGAAUAGCGCCCGUAAGGAGAGGUUAAGAAUUCGGAGUUUGCGCAGAAGAAAAAGCAGGCAGCAUCCACACACACACACACACACACACACACACACACACACACACACACACACUCAAACUCUACCACUCCAAAACUCACAUCAAACAUACCAAAAUUCGACGAUUCAUAGUUUCCAAAAUUCUAAAAUUGUAUCCUACAAUUCUUAACUGCUAAAGCUCUUAAAUUCCAAGCUUAAAAAAAACAAAAUUUC